rnacentral:rRNA from 1 species
UACGUAGGGUGCGAGCGUUGUCCGGAAUUAUUGGGCGUAAAGGGCUCGUAGGCGGUUUGUCGCGUCGGGAGUGAAAACCAGGUGCUUAACACCUGGCUUGCUUUCGAUACGGGCAGACUAGAGGUAUGCAGGGGAGAACGGAAUUCCUGGUGUAGCGGUGAAAUGCGCAGAUAUCAGGAGGAACACCGGUGGCGAAGGCGGGUCUCUGGGCCGAAAUUGACGCUGAGGAGCGAAAGCGUGGGGAGCGAACAGG